rnacentral:tRNA from 1 species
GGGGCCAUAGCUCAGCUGGGAGAGCGCCUGCUUUGCACGCAGGAGGUCAGGAGUUCGAUCCUCCUUGGYUCCACCA